rnacentral:rRNA from 1 species
UACGGGGGGAGCAAGCGUUGUUCGGAUUUACUGGGCGUAAAGGGCGCGUAGGCGGCCAGCACACGUCAGUUGUGAAAUCUCCGAGCUUAACUCGGAAAGGUCAACUGAUACUGUGCGGCUAGAGUGCAGAAGGGGCAACUGGAAUUCUCGGUGUAGCGGUGAAAUGCGUAGAUAUCGAGAGGAACACCUGCGGCGAAGGCGGGUUGCUGGGCUGACACUGACGCUGAGGCGCGAAAGCUAGGGGAGCGAACGGG